rnacentral:rRNA from 1 species
UACGAAGGGGGCUAGCGUUGCUCGGAAUCACUGGGCGUAAAGCGCACGUAGGCGGACUCUUAAGUCGGUGGUGAAAUCCUGGAGCUCAACUCCAGAACUGCCUUCGAUACUGGGAGUCUCGAGUCCGGGAGAGGUAAGUGGAACUGCGAGUGUAGAGGUGAAAUUCGUAGAUAUUCGCAAGAACACCAGUGGCGAAGGCGGCUACUGGCCCGGUUACUGA